CUGUUCAGCAGGAGGAAGAGGAGCUGAGAGCUUCAGGGAGGAGCUGAGCUGUUACUGAACUAUAGAAGAGACACAAACUUCCACAUUCAACACAGUUCAAACAUUAACUCUGAUCAUCAUGCUGUCUUUGCUCACAUCUGGAUUUACUCUGCUGGUUCUGCUUAUAGGAACAGGUGUAAACUGUCAACAGCUCACUGCAGCAAAGACUGAGGAGUUCGCUUUAGAGGGCGGCUCUGUUACUCUGUCCUGCACUUACAAGAAAGAUUCAGCUCGUUUUUUGUUCUGGUAUCGACAAUAUCCUGGAAAACCUCCAGAGUUCCUGAAGUCCCACUCACCUUCAGGACUAACAGCUGAAGAAGAAAUCUAUCCUGUGACCAGCGGGGGAUUUACCAUUAGGCAAUGCUAUGCAGCUGCCUAG